CCUACGGGAUGCAGCAGUGGGGAAUAUUGCACAAUGGGCGCAAGCCUGAUGCAGCCAUGCCGCGUGUAUGAAGAAGGCCUUCGGGUUGUAAAGUACUUUCAGCGGGGAGGAAGGCGAUAAGGUUAAUAACCUUGUCGAUUGACCUUACCCGCAGAAGAAGCACCGGCUAACUCCGUGCCAGCAGCCGCGGUAAUACGGAGGGUGCAAGCGUUAAUCGGAAUUACUGGGCGUAAAGCGCACGCAGGCGGUCUGUCAAGUCGGAUGUGAAAUCCCCGGGCUCAACCUGGGAACUGCAUUCGAAACUGGCAGGCUAGAGUCUUGUAGAGGGGGGUAGAAUUUCAGGUGUAGCGGUGAAAUGCGUAGAGAUCUGAAGGAAUACCAGUGGCGAAGGCGGCCCCCUGGACAAAGACUGACGCUCAGAUGCGAAAGCGUGGGGAGCAAACAGGAUUAGAUACCCGCGUAGUC
rnacentral:rRNA from 1 species